UACAGAGGGUGCGAGCGUUACUCGGAUUUACUGGGCGUAAAGGGCGCGUAGGCGGUUAUGUAAGUGAGGUGUGAAAUCCCUGGGCUUAACCUAGGAACUGCAUCUCAUACUGCGUAGCUAGAGUAUUGUAGAGGGUAGUGGAAUUUCCGGUGUAGCGGUGAAAUGCGUAGAGAUCGGAAGGAACACCAGUGGCGAAGGCGGCUACCUGGACAAAUACUGACGCUGAUGCGCGAAAGCGUGGGGAUCAAACAGG
rnacentral:rRNA from 1 species